rnacentral:rRNA from 1 species
UACGGAGGAUGCAAGCGUUAUCCGGAAUUAUUGGGCGUAAAGCGUCCGCAGGUGGCACUUCAAGUCUGCUGUCAAAGACCGGGGCUUAACCCUGGAAAGGCAGUGGAAACUGAAGCGCUAGAGUGUGGCAGGGGUAGAGGGAAUUCCCGGUGUAGCGGUGAAAUGCGUAGAGAUCGGGAAGAACAUCGGUGGCGAAAGCGCUCUGCUGGACUGCAACUGACACUCAGGGACGAAAGCUAGGGGAGCGAAUGGG